UGGGAGAACAACAGGGAUUGCCCUAGUAACGGCGAGUGAAGCGGCAACAGCUCAAAUUUGAAAUCUGGCUUUCGGGCCCGAGUUGUAAUUUGUAGAGGAUGAUUUUGGCGCGGUGCCUUCCGAGUUCCCUGGAACGGGACGCCUUAGAGGGUGAGAGCCCCGUACGGUUGGACACCAAGCCUCUGUAAAUCUCCUUCGACGAGUCGAGUAGUUUGGGAAUGCUGCUCUAAAUGGGAGGUAAAUUCCUUCUAAAGCUAAAUACCGGCCAGAGACCGAUAGCGCACAAGUAGAGUGAUCGAAAGAUGAAAAGCACUUUGAAAAGAGGGUUAAAUAGCACGUGAAAUUGUUGAAAGGGAAGCAUUUACUACCAGACCUUCUCCUGGCGGAUCAUGCGGUGUUCUCACCGCUGCACUUCGCCUGGUUUAGGCCAGCAUCGGUUUUCGUAGGGGGAUAAAAGCUUUAGGAACGUAGCUCCCUCGGGAGUGUUAUAGCCUUUUGCAUAAUACCCUUACGGGGACCGAGGACCGCGCUUUUGCAAGGAUGCUGGCAUAAUGGUAGUCAAUGACCCGUCUUGAAACACGGACCAAGGAGUCGAACAUUUGUGCGAGUGUUUGGGUGUUAAACCCUCACGCGUAAUGAAAGUGAACGUAGGUGAGAGCCCUUACGGGUGCAUCAUCGACCGAUCUUGAUGUCUUCGGAUGGAUUUGAGUAAGAGCAUAACUGUUCGGACCCGAAAGAUGGUGAACUAUGCGUGGAUAGGGUGAAGCCAGAGGAAACUCUGGUGGAGGCUCGCAGCGGUUCUGACGUGCAAAUCGAUCGUCAAAUCUGCGCAUGGGGGCGAAAGACUUAUCGAACCAUUAAACCAGCGGUAAAUUUACUUACUAGGUGGUUAAGAGGCCCCCCGUCAGGGGAAGGCCUAGACGCCCUACCCUGGAGGUGCUACCCUGCACUUCCGGGUGGGCUGUCGACAUCGCUAAAUUGCGGGAACAUCCCACUACAAGGCUAGGGGCUACCGCCGCCUGCUGAAAAGCACGGCGGCACUGAGUGUAGCGCUCUCAGGCGUGGUAAAAACGCCCCUAGUAUCGGACGACCUGCAGCCAACCCCGUACUUCAGGGGAGGGUUCACAGACUAAACAGCGAUGGGUCAGCGGUUGCUGGCCUAAGACAUAGUCGAUCUGGGGCCUGAAAAGGCGCCCUGCAGCGUGGCACGUAGGUUCACAGCGUGAGCUGGG
rnacentral:rRNA from 1 species